GAUAGUUUCCUCCUGGAAGGGAGGGUCAGUCUGAUCCUGACUUACUUUGAGAGGGGACUGUUCCUCUCUACUAUGUGUGGAUUCAAUUUACAGCCAUAGACUGAUAAGUGCUCUUCUGAGGGAGGAGAACCUAACCCAACUUUGGGAUGAUUCAUUUAUGUUGAUUUCCCUUUAUCUGUUCACUGACCUUCAUGGAAGGGGUAGACUACCUAGGGUCUAGCCAGAGAGCUGAGCCUCUUAGGACUGGAAGUGGAGUGGGAAAACCAAAUGACCAUCACAGUGCGGCAGCCUGGGUGAGUGCUGGGGCCCUGCCUAGAGUCUAGGGGAUGCCCUAGGGAAGGAGCUCUAGUGCUAGGGGGUUUUGUGGAAUAUGCUUAGAAGCUGUUCUGUUGUGUGCUAUUUCCAAACAUCAGAGGGAGAUUACUUUCAUCCACCUCCCAUGAACAUAUAUAACUUCUGAAGACAGUAAUGGGAGUUACUUACACCAUAUAUCGGGAAUAAGGGUUGGUGGAGAAGAUACUCCUUAAAGAGCCACAGAUGCAUAUAGAAAAAGGAGAAACAGGGAAAAUGGGAAAGGCAGAGAAAUGAAGAUCCUGUUUCCAUGCAAAUGUCCUUGGUAAUAAAGCAUAAGAGAAGGAGCUAAUAAUCCUGGGAAAUUCUCCAGUGCUUUCCAUCCAGGCAUUUCAUGAACAUUAAUGAAUGAAUAUUUACACACCAGUGUGAAGGCAGUAAAUACCCAUUUUGCUGAGUAGAUAGACUGUCUCUACCCUAAUUUUAAGAGUAAAAUGUGCAAGUGUCUAAGGGGGUCAAACUCCCAUUUGCAAAAGUGACUUAAGCCUAGAUCCGCAAAAGUAUUUAGGCACCUAAGUCUCAUUGAAACCAAUGGGAGUUACUAUGAUGGGUGCAUAAACCCCACAUUGGUUAACAAGAUUAAUAGAAGCUUCAGAGCUCAAUUAGCCUACUUGGUUGCACCUGAAGGAUGUGUUAGGGCCAAGUAGUUAUCAGAACCAGCUGGAUGGUCUUCAUAAAGGAGUGAGGUCAGAAAGAUAGGAAGAGACCCAGGAGAGAAGAAAUUUAGGUCCCUCUUCUCUGUUGCUGGAAAAAGAACCAUAAGGAAGCUCUAGAAGCACAGCUAGUUCUGUGGUGGGCCCUGACAUUAGGGGUGAGGCUCCUGGGAAGUAAUUCUAAGGGCUAGUGUUCUGGAAGAGGAAAAGGGAACUGGGGAGAACCCAGAAUGGCUAAAAGCUCAAGCCCAUGGUGGCUUUAGUUGUUUGGGCUGAUUUGAGAUUUUCUUGAGUUCUACUGGGGAGAAGCCUGGGAACCAGAUACCCUGAAAGAAGAGCAGGGUUGAAGAAGAGCCCAGGAGGGGUGGAAGAUGCUGUACUGAUGGCUAGUACUGUGGUGGACAUUGGGACACUAAUCCUACUGACUACAUGUGACUGGUCUGAAGGGCUGAAUCCCUAAAAGAACCUGACCAUUACAGGGCCUGAAUGGCCCUCAGAAGGCAGUGAUUGAAGGGAAGGUUGUGCAAGACUGUGCCCAGGCAUGAUGGGUCUUAUCAGCUGGACCCGUUUCCCUGUGUGUAAUGGAUGGAGAAACUUCUCAGUCUGCAGGCAAUCGGUCGUAAAAACUUCACUUGGAAGAUUAAUGCAGGUCCAAAGGAGAUACAAUACCAAUCCUUACCUAAUUCUUGGUGAGGGAAGCCAUGCUUGAACCCAGUUAGUAACAACUGUUCAAACAUAGGGUAAGAAUCAGCUAUGCGAUUCCAAAAGCCAUAUGGUGGUACCAUUUCUCUAGGUCUCCCACUCCAGGGCUGCUGUUCUUUGCACAGUUUAUUUUAAUAUUUGUAAUACAGUAGUGUCCAGAGGUCAAAGUGUGCUAGGUGCUGACCAUCACACAGAAAGAUAUGGUCCCUCCUCAAAAGAGCUUUCCCAUUGAAGACCAGAUGCAUCAAGUGGGUGUACCAAACACAGGGGACUGGGGAAGGGAGGACAAGGGUGAGAUUAUCUGAUUACACAGAGUAGCUGUUUGCAGGUUCAAUCAAUUAAAACAAAAUCAGUAUCAAUCCCUACUGGCAAUUUAUCUAGAAAUUAUCAGCUAGCAAUUUACCACAGGCAACAUGGUAGAAGUGGAUCUUGGAGGGAUCUGAAGGAAAAUAGAGUGAUUUUAUUUAUUAGUUCCGAGUGUGAGUAUGAGAGGGUGAGUGCGCUUGUGAGAGAGAUGGACUGGCUGGCAUUGUUGGAGGAGCACAAGAGGCCUAGUCAAUGCAAUAAGACAGAAAAGUGGAAAGUGGGGGGAGGGAGUAAGCUGAGAAGGGCUUUAAAGGUGAGAACAAGAAGCUAAAAGUUGUUGCAGUGGAGAAAUGAGAGCUAGAGAAAAGACUCAAAGAGGACAGGGGAAACAAGGUCCAGGAAGAUGAUCUUAGCAGCAGUGUUUUGAAUGUAGAUGGGGGCAAGCAGGAGAUGUGUACAUUAAAGGAAGCCAGAGAAGAGGCAGUUAUAGUAGAACAAGGAAACAAACUUGUCAGUGGCAGCUGCUGAAGGGAUCGAAAGGUGGGUCCCUGGAAACACGAGAUGAAGAAACAAUACUUCCACCCAACUCUCUAACCCAGUCAUCUUUCUUUCCCUGGGGUGCAGCCCUCGAGCAUUCAAUGUGGCUCAUGAUCCAUCCAGAUGAUCAUCAGAGGUGUGUCAGCACCAAAGAUGAAAGCAUUCAAAGAUCAUAGUUCUUGGUAUGGAAACAGCUAAUUCUAACUCUUAUGCAGAAUUCAAUUUUAAAAACUGUACCUGAUGAUGCAGUUUCCUCGGUUGGAAGCGAAGAUGACGAUGGGAGCAAUAGAAGAUUCUAGUGCGCGAUGCAGAUAUGUGAAACAUUCAAUAUCCAGCAUGUGAACCUCAUCUACAAAGAGCACACCUGGGACCAGCUCUGCAAUGCCUUGAUCAAUGUAUUUAUUCACCACCUUGUUUAUCUCCCCUCGAAGCUUGUCUAAGAGACAGGAAAGAAAACCAUUUUAGUUGUUUUAUUAGUGCUCUCUGCAGCUAUGUGAAGGACCCUAAGACACUAAAAUAGGGGAUGCCACUUUCCUAGCAUCUUGAUUCUAAACUGAUAUCCUAUCAUGAAUAGAUGAGUCACUGUGAUGCAAAGUCUCUGUGGGAUUUGAGCCAGAUUGACCCAAGGUCCCAUGUUUUCUCAUAUGAUAUAGAGUCAUGUUCUGGGGGAGUUACUGUUUCUCACUUUCAGUUCUUGGAACUUGUAUACGAAGCUGGCCAUUUUGUAUGCACAACCCCUCAUCAAUGGUGUAAAAAGCAACUUGAAAAACAAAAUUAAAACACAGCAUGGAUUCUGCAACAGAAAAUCAUGUCCCACUAGUCUUACACUUCUUUUUCUCUAUUGAUGGAUUCUAGGCCAGAAGGGACCACUGUGCCCAUCUAGUCUGCCCUCAUGCAUACCUCACACCAUAGAACUUCCCCAGAAUAAUUCCUAGAGCAGAUCUUUUAGAAAAAUAUUUGAUUUGAAAAUUGUCAGUGAUAGAGACUCCACCACAACCCCAGGUAAGUUGCUCCAAUGAUAAACGACUCUCACUGUUUUAAAAAUGCCUUAUUUCUAGUCUGAAUUUGUCUAGCUUCAACUUCCAGCUGUUGGAUCUCGUUAUAUCUUUGUCUGCUAGACUGAAGGACCCAUUAUCAAGUAUUUGUCUCCAUGUCAGUACUUACUGACUGUGCUCAAGUCACUACUCAAUCUUCUCUUUGCUAAGCUAACCAGACUGAGCUCCUUGAGCCUAUCAUUAUAGAGCAUGUUUUCCAAUCAUUUGACCGUUCCUGUGACUCUUCUCUGAACCCUUUCCAAUUUAUCGAUAUUCUUCUUGAUUUAUAAACACUAGGAGUGGACACAAUACUCCAGCAGCAGUCAUACCAGUGCCAAAUACAGAGAUAAAAUAACCUCUCUACUCCUACUUGAAAUUCCUGUUUAUGCAUCCAAGGAUCACAUCAGCCCUUUUGGCCUGAGGGUCACACUUAGGUCUCAAGUUCAGCUGAUUACCCACCAAAAAGCUUUUGACAAGAUCCCACACAAGAGGCUACCAAAGAAGCCGAUUAGCCAUGGGGUGACAGGCAAAGUAUUGUCAAGAAUCAAAAACUCGCUAGGACACACAAACCAAAGAAUAAGGUUAAAUGGUCAAAGUUUAUCAUGGCAAAAGGUUAAACUUUUGUACUAGGUUCAGCAUUUAAAAUAAUUAAUGAUCUGGAGAGGGGUGGUGAGUAAUGAGGUAGCAAAAUUUGCAAAUGACAAAGACCAGAGAGGACUAGGAGGAACUUCUGAGGACCUAACCAAGCUAAGAGAAUGGGCAACAUGAUGGUAAGAAAAGCUCAAUAUCCAUAAAUGCAAAGCAAUGCACAUUGUAGGGAAAAAUGUGAACUACUUUAUGCUUUACAAAGUUUUUAAAUUCACUUUUAUCAACUCAGGAAAGGGACCUGGGUGUUGUCGUGGACAGACCAAAGUUCUCUGCCCAAUCUUUAGUGGGGGAAAAAAAACCUAAACAAGAUAUAGAAUGCACAAGGGAUGGGAAUGGAGAAUAAUACAGAAAAUAUUAAGUCAUUAUAUAAAUCAAUGCUGCAGCCUCAUCUGAAAUAAUGUGGAGUAUUGGUCAUUCUGUCUCAAAAAGGAUAUAGCAAAAUGAAGACGGGUCAAAGAAGUGUGAUGAGAAUGAUUAAGGGCAUGGAAAUCUCAUGUGAAGAGAGAUUAAAAAGACUGGUUGAUUUACCUACAGAGAUGAAUAACAGGGGACAUUAGACUGGGAACUUUUGUUCUACCUGUAUUGUAAUACAAGACAGUCAAUAAAAUUAAAGGUGGCAAAUUCAAAAAUAAUAUACCAUAUCUCCACACAACAUGCAAUGAGGCUAUAGAACUCCUUGCCACAUGAAGUUCUUGAGGCUAAGAACUUUACAAGAUUCAAAAAGGGCAGGACACAUACAUAGAUAUAAAAAAUAAAGUUAAAAUUAAUGCUAAAUUUUUAGAAGGAAUAUGAAAUUUCAUACUUCAGGGAUUAAGCCAAUCUCUAACUAUAAGAGAUCAGCAACAAUAGGCUGGUCAAGACAGAUUACCCCACAUCUGCUUACUGCAGGAUUUUUGCAUUUUCCUCUGAAGCAUCUGGUACUGACCACUGUCAGACAGGAUACUGGAUAAGACUGACCUCAGGUCUGAUCCAGUAUAAAAUUGCUCUCUUCCCAAUUUCAAUGUUUCUACAAUACUGAUUGUUUUCUAUCUGACAUUUAUACAUUCCACAGUUAAAACGUGAAAAUACACUGAGGCAUCAGACUGAGAGUGCCAGAAGAAUUCUGUUAUUCACCUAAGUAUAAGCAUUAUCAUCUGCUUGAAGGCCAAGUUCUUAGUACUUUGAACUAGGAUAGUUCUCCUACUUGCAUAGCUUGUGAGGAACUCUGACAGUGUUUCCAAGCAUGACUGGAAAGAAAACUAAAUACUGCUGGUUUAUUUUAACGUAACAUUUCAAUAUAAGCAAAAAUAUAAUUCCUUAGCUUUUUGAACAUAUGGAUCUCAAAGCUGUGCAAGAUGUUACAUGGAUAUAGUCUGACUUUAGAAUAUGGAAGGUGAUCUCUGCAAGAGGUGGAAUAUUUCAAAAGAGCAUCAUUCAACUUUAGUAUUAAAACAGACUUUGAUCUGAAUUUAAGUAAGAUACCUGUUGAAGCACCUUUUCUUUCAACGCAAAAAGGACAAAAGAUUUUUACUGUAGAUAUUUUUCCUUCUGUGAUUUGUAGAUAAGAAGAGAAUCAGAUCCCCUUAUAACACCCAUAUUGAAGUCCAUGGGCUGUUGCUAUAGGUGAGUCAAUGCCACACAGAACCACUCAACAGUGAUCCUUUCACAGCCAUUUUUCUACUUUGCAAAACUAUUGUACAGUUGCAUAAUAUGAGAAAGGUAGCAACACUCCAAGGUGAACGAAGAAUUUAGUUCUAUAAUUGUAUUGGUUUGUUCCUUCAUGGAAUGUUUGGGUCCCCUACCAUAUCAAGUGACACCAUUUUGAAAGAAUAGGGAGAUAAAUCCUAGUGUCCUGACUAACUUUCACACUCAAUAAAAUGGGCUCCAAUGUCUUAAGCAACAUAUGGGAUAUUAUUAUUUGUAUAAUGGUGCUGCAUUUGAUUCCAGUCACUGCACUGCUGGCACCUAACUUGUGACUUUCUGAAGUAUUCUGAAAUAAUUCACUAUUAGAGUUGCUACAUAAAUUCAGUUCUAUCAACUCCUUGUCUAGUAGGCAUAUGUAUAGCUUAUGUUGAGGGUUAAGAUGUGGUGCAAGCAAUUUUUAUACCUGUAAUUUCAGUUUUUUUAGGCUUCAUCAAUUGUCCCAUCAUGGAAAGGAUGUCCUGCCCACCCUGGAAAAAGCAAAGUUAGAGAUCAACAAUUUCUCCUUCCUGUGCCGUUGCUCAAUGCACCAGACUAGAUACGGACCAGGCUAUUAUAGACGGUCUGGACUUUAGAGAGAACAGUGAGAGAGCUCAAAGUUUAACACCCUCAAUUUCCCUCCUCACACAAAUGAAACUGAUCAGAGAGCAGAAAGGCUGGAGCUGCCUGUUUGGACUCAACAACAUGCAGGAACAGGAGAAGAUCCUGGAGGACAAGGCAAGAGAAUGGAAAAGUUUCCCCCCUGCCACAACCUUGGAAGGGAGAUGAACUGGAAUAACUGAGGUGACAAAGACAUGAGCACUGCAUUAAGUUUCAAAGUGCAGAAAACCCAUACUGUCUCAGCUAAGAUGAGGAACAAGACCAAAUGAAACAUGGCUAAAACAUUGAAAACUGGAGCAUGAAAACACAGCCCCUCACCAGAACUACUGGAAAAAGCUAGUGUUCUGUUGUUCAGAUUUUUUUUUCUUUUUUUAAAAACCCACACAUAAACACUUUACUCUUCUUCUAUUUUAACACUUACCUAUGG